CCUCAAGUGCGAUCGGAUGAUCGCGAUUAAAUGUGAUGAACAGUCCAGAUUCGUUUUCUUUUUAAACGCAAUCGGACGAUUGAGAUCAAAUCACGAUGAACGGUCCAGAUUUAUUUAUUUUUUAAAUGCGAUUAAACGGUCCAAAUUUAAGUGAGACGGGUAUAAAUAUAUCGCAUCACACUGAACCCAAACUCUAGCCACUAGC
rnacentral:lncRNA from 1 species